AUAAAUAUGUUGUAUUUUGAUGUAUUUGUUUAUUGGAAUAUACGCAUGGAACCUCUACGAAUCUGUUAAACCUGGAAUAGGAAGUCAACGAUGCAACUAGUGCAGUGUUUGCAGGCUGCCGCUGCCGCUGAUGAUCAAUUUUCCUUGUCAUCAGUUUCUUUAAGGAUUCUGGAAAAGAUGGACCUCGUUGGGUUGUUGUGAGUUUGUAUCUUUGGGGGAGAAAGCUGAAGGAUGCAUAGUAACAAUAUUGGAAUAGCAACUGCAUUCUUACAGCUCUACUGACAUGCAAAGGGUAAAUGGUCGUUUACAAAGGUGAGAGAGUGACAUUGAAUCACAUGACACAAACAGACAGGAGAUAGAGGAGCUAAUGUGCUGUUCAUCAAUGCAGUGUUGAAGCGCUGGGAAGCCGAAACGGGAGUUGACCACUUAGAGCCUGGAGAAAGGGCUGCCUUCAACAAUAAAAUAGGU